CAGUGUUCCCUCCACUGAUGUAAAAACACUGACCACAUUUUAACAACAGCAAGUUUUAUUGGAACAUAGAUAAUUUUCUGGAGGCCAAAGUCCCUCAAUGUUCCUCAGUAAGAAUGCAUGCAUGUCACACACUGUGACUCCUGUCGUCUUCUGUGUUGGAGCACACCAAUGCUGCUGGGGUGGUCCGCUGACUUCACUGCUGUUUUCCACCUGUAACUUCUUGGUGGGCCCCACUGCCUCACCUGGGUUUCUGUUCCACCUGUUCUUCUAGAGGUCCACAGACAUCCUCAGCUCUCACAGAGAAAGAUGUGAUGGGGCAUAAGCAUCUUCCACCUAUCCUGAUCAGUGAUUACAGCUCCUAUACAAUAAUGCACCACUUUUCCAACUCAUACCAGCUUAGCAGAAUGGAGUUGCCAGAUGCAGGCUCCCGGGUCAGACUUGCUAGCUGUAUGUUCAUGGACAAGUUGCUAAUUUCAUUAGUAAAAUAGAGAUAUUAAGAGUAACCACCUCCUGGGAUACUUGUGAGGCUUAUACAGUAUUUAAUCUGCAAACCCGCUCUAUGACUAUCAUUAUUCACAUUUUGCAGAUGAGUUUGAUUAGCUUGUCCCAGGUCCUAGAGCUAGAGGAGGCCAUAUUGGGAUGCAAAUCAAGGUCUGCCUGACUCUUAAGCACAUGCUGUUACCACUAUGCCCACUGCCCCAGAGAGAGAAGUACUGUGGACACCAACAGGAUUGACCUACAGGCAAAAAAACCAGAAAACAUGUGUCAUGAUUAAUUUCUUCUUUAGACCCUUAUAGAAGUUACUUUUGCCUCUUUCAAGUCAAUUUUUUUGCAUGCUGGCUUUUAGAAAUAAGCUCCACUGGUUUGUAAAUUAUUUAGGGAUAAGGACAAUUUUUUGCUCGUUUUAAUUUUCUUUGUAUCAUCAACCGUAGUGCUUUGCACAUAGUAGGUGUUCAAUAAACAUUUUCAGUGAAAUCGAGCUUGUGUUGUGUCCAUACGUAUAAAUACCUACCAAAAGCUCUAUGAUACUGGAGACACGUCAAAUUUCUGAGUGGCGUAUCUGUCUAUCUGGCAGUUUACAGAGUUCUGAAUUUUUAAUAUAUAUUUUGUCUUUAGGCACUUUGUAGCAUGGUGCCACUGAUGGAUAUGAUCCAAAUGAAUCUUUCUUUGCUUCUUCACUGGUUGUGUAGCUGUGGGAAAGUUACUUUGCUAUUCUAAGACUCUGCUUUCUCAUCUGUAAAACAAUACCAUUAUCAUAGGAUUAGAGUACGGAUAAAGCCCUUAGGAUAGAGGCUGACUCACAGUAAGUGUUCAGUAAAUGUCACCUAUCACUAUGAUUAAAUUAAAAUAUUAAAGAAUAUGUCCUAUAUUAAAGACAUUUUAUUUUAGAAUUGUUAAAUAUGUGUGUAUAGACAGGGCCAAGAGAAUGAAGUACGAACAACAAUUAUCCUGAGAUCUGGCAUUAUUAAGAGGACCGAUUUCUGGGAUACAGAUUUGCUGGGAAUUACUGUUAAAAGCUCCAGCUAGGGAGGAUGCUCCCUCUGGGGCAUCUCUGAGUAGUACUGACCACAGAUGUGGAUUCCUCUCUGGGGAUAAAAAUUUCAAAGGGCAUAGGCUUUCUGAAAGUGCUAGUGUCAAGCUUCUUGCCUUUUUACUCCCAAUGGCUUAAUUCAGUCAGUUCCCAUCCUUCAGUUUUGUGAACCAGAUCUUAGGUAGAUCUGCAGUGUGUGUGUUUAAUAAGGAUUUACUCAGGAAAUAAAUUGUGUCUCUUUCACCUUCAAGCCUGCCCAGGUUACCGGUGGGGAGCUGGCAGACUGUCAAAUCCUAUUCUUUUGGGGUAAUCCAUGACCAGGAGCUUUUGUGGAGCUGGGAACUCACCACAGGGGAUGUGGCUGCUUGUCAGAGACGCAAACAGGAGCACUGAAGCUUCUGGGCUUAAGUGAUGACCUCAAGAGGACUCCUUAAUUAAUGUCUGUACAGUAACUUCUCAGAGUCUGGUUACCAGGUAACCCAACCAGGAACACUGUACCUCCCCAUCUUCCUCUCACUAUCCCUCCCUCCCCACUUCCUCUUCCUUUUUGUUCUCCCUUGUUCCCUCUUUUCCUCCCUCUUUUUCUCAUCCUUUUUCUCGCUUCUUUCCUCUCUCUAUUCUCUCUCCUGCUCUCCCUCAAACUGAGUAGUUUCUCACCUCUGCUCCUUUUUGAGCUCUCAUGUCAUUCUCUUCUCACUUUCUGACCAGUUUCCUCAGCUCUUCUGGCACAUGGACCAUCAUGGCUGCCCCCAAAUGGUGUUCUCAGCUCCCUAGGCACCAUCACUGUGGUAUAUGCUGUUGGUAUCUCACCCGGAUGCCUUUACUGGGCUGAUGUCCUCAUCUUGCAGCUGCUGUGGGUGUCGGUUAAUAAUAGCUCAUAUGUGUACCCUUCUCUGGAGGACUAUCCUUUACCAACUGGAAGCUUCUCUCCUGGAGAUGCCCAAAAGGUUUUGCCCCACACUCCUUGGCCAAUGACUGUCAGAUGGGUGGGGGCAUGCAUAAGUCCAUCCUCCUUGCCUCAAGGCAGGACACACUCUGUGGUACAAUUCACAGUCUGGACAGCCCCCUAGAUCAGGUGCAGGCUGCCUUUUCCUGUCUUUGCAUAACAUCUUCCCCUGUCCCAUGCUGCUCCUCUCACUCACUUCAGGUGUAGCCUGAGAGCACUCCCUCAAUCAAUCCCUCUGCCUCUAAGGAGCCUGAUUUAGGCUCAUCUCCUUACAGACCCUGUGCCUGUGGCAAAUUGGUUCAGCCUUUGCUGUCCUAAUUCCAAAUAUCCAGGAGACAGAACUCUCUUAAAGUUCUUUCUCUUUGAACUCCCAUUCAAAGACCAGUGCUCCCUAUGUGCAGCUUGGCUCAGGCUGAGCUCAGCCCAGCAUCUAGGACGAACACCUGGAGUUCAUUUCAGGUGAACACUGGGAACGCAUUACACGUGCAACCUUGUGUGGCUGCAGAGGGGACAGAGUUAAAUAGAAUAGGGUAGAUGAAGGGUACGUGGAGAGGGGACAACUCUCAGAAAAGGCUAGUCAGUUCCUGCAAAGGUGAAUCCUACCCGUGUCCUCCUCCUCAGUCUUUCUUGAAUUAAUUUUCUUGGUCUUCUCUUUACCCUUCAUCGAUCUUCCCAUCUACAUGCCAAGUUCUAAUCAGAUAGUGAAUGUUUGAAAAGUGGCACCACGUGAUGGAGAAAGGACCGGGCUGAGUGUCAGCAUGGAAGAUGUCCUAAUUCAGCUAGCUUGCUUCACAUACACCUCUGGGUCUCCAGCUUUAAGAAACCUCUGGAGUGUUCUAACUGACACAAACAAUGGUACUUUGCGGUUUUGAGCCUGGGAAACCUAAAAAAAUUAAGCUGCAUGCCCGGUUGUGCUGUGACAUCUCGUAACAGGCAGUUGACACUGGCUCCAUGAACAUCAACCAACCUCCUCCUUUGCAAACAGACUGAAAAUGGGAAACACAAGGUUUGGGAAGAGUCUUAGACCCAUUUUAUUACCGAAUAGUUGAAGCUUUUACUUGGACAAAUAUAUUUGCAAUUUCAAAAUCCACAAGGAUUUGGUUUAGAAAUUACUGAUGAAAAAGAACAUCAAUCAGCCAUCCCACACCCUGUUGAACUCCUUGGAGAACUGAAUGAGAGGCUUAAAAGAGGUAGUUUUAGGCCAAACAGUACAAGAAUAUAUUAUAUGAUGUCAUAAUGUAAUAAUAAUAAUAGUAAUUCUGUUAGUAAAGCUUAUCACUUUUACUUUUGAAGCCGGGGAUUAAAUAUAACUACCACUAACUAGCUUAGUGAAUUCACCUCUGAACCUGUGAACUAGAGGAAUUAAAACUAGGAGAUCUCACUUUCUGAACAUUUAUGAGUAAUUUAUUUGUCAUCUGGGAUUUCUUCAAAUAAUCAGAGGAGGGGGACAGCAAGGGGUUAGAGAAGAAUUGGCAUGAGUUGAUAAUUUUUGAAGCUGAAAGAUGGAUACAUAAGAGUGGAUUUUACUAUUUUGUCUACAUUUAUAUACACUUAUAAUUUUUCAUAAAAAUGCAGAGAAUGGGGGAUAGGAAUGAACCAACCAAACAAAAUGAGAUGAUUUCUUGCAUUUCUUCCUAAACUAUCAAUCCUAGAGUGAUGUUGGAUUGUCUUCUAAUCCCUCAUGCCUCUAAUGUCAUGGCUUUGGACCCAAGUAAUUCACGAGGCUCUGAAAAGCCAGCACUAAUGAACAGUGAUACAUGUUAGAAUUCCAUGUUACUAAAACAAAUUCAAAGCUGUAUGAUUUCCAUCACAGCUUUGGCAAUUGUGUCUCUUCUCACUUCAUGGCUCUGGAAAACACAAGAUUGCUCAGCUUGACUCCAAGGUAGGCUAACAUCCAAAGGUUUCCUUAGGUUCCAGACUUUCACUGCAUUUAGUAUAGGCAGCAUCAGCAGUGGAGAGAAUGGAAUAAGGCAGACAUUGGUAUAUACAAAUAUUAUACCUCCCACACUCACUGAUUUGAAAAAUGGCCCAUGGACCAGGGACUUCUCAUACUCCAAGUUGCCAGAAGAAAUAGUUUCCAUUGCUACUUCCCUUUAUGUUAAAUCAGAUGCAGGACAGGGUGGGAAAUGAAUAUUAGUGGGCAGAACUUGCCCACGCAUGUCACAGGAAGAAAAGAGAGGAUUUCUGCUAGAUUUUUUGUCUGCUUGUUCAUUUCUUAUCCCUAGCACCUGUGAUACAGUGCCUGUCCUCUAGUGGACACUGAAUAAAUAUUUGUUAAACAAAGAGGAAUUCACUUUACAUUAAAUUCUGAUCAUUACCAGACUACUGGAUUAAGUGUUUCUUACAGCAGGAAUUUGACCUUAUUUGUUUUUGUGUCCCCAGCCCCGAGCACAGUUCCUGGCUGAAUAAUGUUUGUUGAACUACAUUUCAAGGACUAAAACCUCUGGUGAGAACUACAAAUGCAUAUGCAAAACUAUGGAUGAAUAUUCAAGGAAAGGAGCCAAAACACAAUAAAGUACAUCCUAUAUGAUUGUACUUAUAUAAAGUACAAAAACUAAUCCAUGCUGCUAGAAUCAGGAGAGUGGUUACCCUUGGAGGCAAGGAGUAAUUGGAAGGGAACACAGGGGCAUCUUUUGGGGUAAUGAUAAUAUUGAGUUUCUUGACCUGGGUGCUGGUUACAAGGGUAUUCACUUUGUAAAAAGUCAUUGAGAUGUACAUUUAUAACAUGUGCAUUUUUUCUUUAUGUAUAUUAUACUUCAAUUUAAAAGUUUCUUAUAAAAGCUAAAAAAAACACCC